GGUCUACUGGCGCAAUGGUAGCGUAUCAGCCUUCUACACGUUGGAGGCGAGCUGAGGGUUGCGGGUUCGAGCCCCGCGUGGACCUC
rnacentral:tRNA from 1 species